AAGACUAUAGACCUGCGGAGUACCUGCGGAGGGAUCAUUAGUGAACGCCCUCACGGGCUUAUAACUAUUCCAAACCUCUGUGAACCGUGCCCUUCGGGGCUAUUUUACAAACAUGGUGUAAUGAACGUCGUAUAUCAUAACAAAACAAAACUUUCAACAAUGGAUCUCU
rnacentral:misc_RNA from 1 species